rnacentral:lncRNA from 1 species
CUGCCAGGUACAAGAGACAAGUGAUUGGCUAUCAGCUCUACCUUGAGGCAGAUUCUUCCUCCCCUCCUCUUCCUUCUGCCACCAACUGCUAAAGUUCAGUGUGUGUGUGUGUGUGUGUGUGUGUGUGUGUGUGUGUGUGUGUGGCCAGAUGCAGUGAUGCUCAACUGAGAUGUCAGGCAGCAGGGACCCAGUGUACCAAGACCUUGGCGUAGGCUGACCUUCGGUAUAACGGGACAGCUGAUGGUUGGAGAAACAGGCGGGGCACCAGAUGAAAUGACAGUGCCCAGGAACCCAAAGAGGAAGCAAGGAACUUGGACACUUCUCCCUGGGCAGAUGCCAGAUCUGUUGCCUCCAGGAUCUGCCCUUCCCCCUGCAAGCCUGACAGUCCCCGCCCCUUGCCUCUUAUAGCAGGACUUUGCAAACAGUCUUUCUGGAUGGACACUGGACACGGCUGCGCCUCCUCCCUGAACACUUUCCAUUCCCAGACUGAGCCUCAGCCACGGCUCCUCAGGAAAAUUGGCCGAAAGAGACAUUUUCCAUGCUCUUGACUCCUCUGGCCAUGCUGGCACGCUCCAACAUCUUCUCCCCCCUGGUAAACCACGCCCAGAAAGAGGAUGCUGUCCAUCAACCUGCUGUUACUCAUCCACCACUUAGUCUAAAGUCAUUUCAU